rnacentral:rRNA from 1 species
AAACACGGACCAAGGAGUUCAACAUAUGCGCAGGUCGUUGAGUGUCUGGUAUACUCGAAGGCUUAGUGAAAGCAAGGUACAUCAUUCGGUGGUGUAAUAGCGGCGAGAUCCUGGUGCAUCGUGCAUUAGGCGCAUCGCCGACCCGUUUAAUGGCCACGCGCCAUGGACGGAGUUCGAGCGCAUACGCUGAGACCCGAAAGAUGGUGAACUAUGCCUGGGCAGGAUGAAGCCAGAGGAAACUCUGGUGAAAGUCCGUAGCGAUUCUGACGUGCAAAUCGAUCGUCUGACCUGGGUAUAGGGGCGAAAGACUAAUCGAACCAUCUAAUAGCUGGUUCCCUCCGAAGUUUCCCUCAGGAUAGCUGGUGCUCGAUUUUAAGCAGUCUCUCCCGGUAAAGCGAAUGAUUAGUGGCCUUGGGACCGAAACGGUCUCAACCUAUUCUCAAACUUUAAAUGGGUGAGAAGUCCGGCUUACUUGAUUUGAAGUCUGGACCAUAGUUUGGAUGCAUGAGUGCCUAGUGGGCCAUUUUUGGUAAGCAGAACUGGCGCUGUGGGAUGAACCGAACGUUGAGUUACGGCGCCUGAUUAUAGACGCUCAUCAGAUACCACAAAAGGUGUUGGUUGCUAUAGACAGCAGGACGGUGGCCAUGGAAGUCGGAACCCGCUAAGGAGUGUGUAACAACUCACCUGCCGAAGCAACUAGCCCUGAAAAUGGAUGGCGCUAGAGCGUUUAGCCUAUACUCAACCGUUGAAGCACAUGCGGCGGUAAGAAAUUGCCGUUUUUCAUGCUUUAUGGCAUACGCAUGCUAGUCAUGCUUCAACGAGUAGGAGGGGCGCGGCGAUAUGCUUUGAAGGCUUAGCGGCGUGAGCCGGGCUGGAGCUGUCCUCCGUGCAGAUCUUGGUGGUAGUAGCAAAUACUCAAGCGAGAACCUUGAGGACUGAAGUGGAGAAAGCUUCCAUGGGAACAGCAGUUGAACAUGGGUCAGUCGAUCCUAACACAUCGGCGAAGGCCGUUCACAAACGGUGUCCGGUAUGUGGCAGUGUGCUGUUUCGGCAGUAUACUGUCCGGCUAUAGGCGCUCGUUCGUUUAUAGUCGCCGCACCUGUC